rnacentral:rRNA from 1 species
CGGACGGGUGAGUAACGCGUGAGAAUCUGCCAUCAGGUCUGGGACAACCACUGGAAACGGUGGCUAAUACCGGAUGUGCCCGUAAUUGGGUGAAAGGUUAACUGCCUGUUGAUGAGCUCGCGUCUGAUUAGCUAGUUGGAAGUGUAAUGGACUCCCAAGGCGACGAUCAGUAGCUGGUCUGAGAGGACGAUCAGCCACACUGGGACUGAGACACGGCCCAGACUCCUACGGGAGGCAGCAGUGGGGAAUUUUCCGCAAUGGGCGAAAGCCUGACGGAGCAAUACCGCGUGAGGGAGGAAGGCUCUUGGGUCGUAAACCUCUUUUCUCAGGGAAGAACACAAUGACGGUACCUGAGGAAUAAGCAUCGGCUAACUCCGUGCCAGCAGCCGCGGUAAUACGGAGGAUGCAAGCGUUAUCCGGAAUGAUUGGGCGUAAAGCGUCCGCAGGUGGCAAUGUAAGUCUGCUGUUAAAGAGUCUAGCUCAACUAGAUACAAGCAGUGGAAACUACAUAGCUAGAGUACGUUCGGGGCAGAGGGAAUUCCUGGUGUAGCGGUGAAAUGCGUAGAGAUCGGAAAGAACACCAACGGCGAAGGCACUCUGCUAGGCCGUAACUGACACUGAGGGACGAAAGCUAGGGGAGCGAAUGGGAUUAGAUACCCCAGUAGUC